rnacentral:rRNA from 1 species
UACACAUGCAGUCGUGCGAGAAGUAUCUUCGGAUAUGAGUAGAGCGGCGAACGGGUGAGUAACGCGUAGGAAUGUACCUAGUAGAAGGGGAUAGCCCGAGGAAACUCGGAUUAAUACCGUAUACCUCCUUCGGGAGAAAGAAGGCCUCUCUUUGAAGCUUUCGCUACUAGAUCAGCCUGCGUAAGAUUAGCUUGUUGGUGAGGUAAUGGCUCACCAAGGCUACGAUCUCUAGCUGGUCUGAGAGGACGAUCAGCCACAUUGGGACUGAGACACGGCCCAGACUCCUACGGGAGGCAGCAGUGGGGAAUAUUGGACAAUGGGCGCAAGCCUGAUCCAGCCAUACCGCGUGUGUGAAGAAGGCCUUCGGGUUGUAAAGCACUUUAAGCAGGGAGAAAAAAAUAUAGGUUAAUACCCUAUGUUCUUGAUGUUACCUGCAGAAUAAGCACCGGCUAAUUCCGUGCCAGCAGCCGCGGUAAUACGGAAGGUGCAAGCGUUAAUCGGAAUUACUGGGCGUAAAGCGCGCGUAGGUGGUUUGUUAAGUUGGAUGUGAAAGCCCUGGGCUCAACCUAGGAACUGCAUCCAAAACUGACUGACUAGAGUACGAUAGAGGGAGGUAGAAUUCAUAGUGUAGCGGUGGAAUGCGUAGAUAUUAUGAAGAAUACCAGUGGCGAAGGCGGCCUCCUGGAUCUGUACUGACACUGAGGUGCGAAAGCGUGGGUAGCGAACAGGAUUAGAUACCCUGGUAGUCCACGCCGUAAACGAUGACAACUAGCUGUUGGGAGGCAAUGCCUUUCAGUGGCGCAGCUAACGUUUUAAGUUGUCCGCCUGGGGAGUACGGCCGCAGGCUAAAACUCAAAUGAAUUGACGGGACCCGCACAAGCGGUGGAGCAUGUGGUUUAAUUCGAUGCA